GAAUCUGUUUGCGCCCUCCAGCUGCACUUGCCGGCGGAGGGAGCAGCUCUGACACUGACAGCGGGGGAUCUUCUCAGCGGACCUGCCACUGAUAGCGGCUCUUCUCUGCGACGCCCGGCGUGGACAGACAAGGAGGGGGGACAUGCGGCAGCACGAACCUCGGCUAACUAAUUUCCGCCCUCCAACUGCUCCUGCUGAGCAGGUAUGACAGCCGCUCUCUCUUCAGCGGCGACAGCGGCUCUUCAUAGCGGCACCCGGCGCGGACAGAGAAGGAGGGGGAACAUGCGCCAGGAGGGGGACUGUGCCUGAUAAGGAAGCGGCCAUGCUGGGGAAGCUUCAUAGAUGUAUUUAUCGGUUGGCCUGGAUGGGCACAUGAUGCUGGGGUACUUGCCAAUUCAGAACUGUUCCGGCUAGCAGAGGAAAAGCAAGGUGGCUGGCUGUUCCCUAGAGGGGGGGAUCCGGUUAGUAUCCCGGUGGCCGGUAGCCCAGCUGCCAAAAUACUGUCGCUGAAAUCCCAACACGUCUCAGAAUGCCAGCGCUGAAAUCCCGACAGGCAUCCCAACGCUCGGGAUCCCGAUUGCUACACUGCCGGCCCACUGGAGAGAAGAUUUACAGAAGCUACAGGAGAGGACGCACAAUCAAUGACUUUAUGGCUGAAGAGUCAUCAGUGGGUCACAGGAAGACAAGUAAAUUAUGCAUUGCAGUUUCCAUUUGAAAGAUACUAUAGACCACAAUACCAAGACCACGACAUGGUAUCUGCUUUUACCUCCCGGCUGGGAGAAAAAAUUUACCUACGAUGGAAGACUUGUCUAUGUGGACCAUAACACCAGGACCACAACAUGGUCGAGGGCUAUCACGAAGUCUGUGCAGUCCUUUCAGAAAUACAACCAGCAAGACUUCUAUUUGGCUACAGUGUCAUCAGGAGCAGACCCACUAGGAGCUUUGCCAGCAGGAUGGAUGAGAAGAGAGACCCCCAUAAGAAGCCACUUGUAACAUACCACACAGUGGGAAGAAAUUGAUCGCAAACCAGUCUGUUCUUUCAUAUAGACCUGAUACCUAUUUUGUUUACAAUUUUUAUCAUUGUGUUUUCAAUUGUCAUGGUCUCCGAUGUUUACUGUGAUCUGCUUAAUAAAAUGUAAACACAGUGAGAAGAUCCUCAGUCACAUGCCACAAGGGUCCCCGAAUGUAGGAAAAGGAUGCUUCUGGUGCUGUUAAGCUUACUUCUGUGAUUUGUGCAAGGCUAACACAUUGCCGGAUGAGGUACAAAUAAUGGUAUCAAGAUAGACAAUUUUUGAAGACUUCUUCCUAUGACUUGUGGAACCAGCCUAAUGUGAUGUUCAUAUGGGAAGAUGGUGUAAAUUUUGGAGACUUGACAAAUCCAAACUAUGGUUUCUGGGAAUUCACUGGCAAAAGCAACUCUUAGUAUCAACCCAGCUUCAACUAUGAUCCCUGGCCACCUGCUUGUCUUCACGUUUAUGGCACGCUUCAUUGCAAAGGUGUUAUUCCAUCGUCAGAGAUGGGGAAAAAAACAAAUCUUCUAUUUGACCAUACAUGCUCAAAUUGCCUAAAUCUGCCCCCAUAGCAGAAGAAGGCGAAGAUGCGUUUCACAUUAGAGGAGACAGAAGAUUUUGGAAUAAAGUGAGGAGCAUGGAACACCUGGGCCUUCUUUAGACUGAGCCACCUUCCGUACCACCUUUUAUACCACAUGUGUCUUCAGGACCACCUUCAAGGCAGUAACAUCAAUAAAGCCUGAUAGUGCCUUCUAAAUCUGGGCACUUCUCAUAAAAAAAGAAAAAAGGAUAUAAUUUUAAUAAAAUUGCUCCGGUCUAAAGAACA